GAUCAACUCCUACUCCAAUAAUUAAGAAACAAAUGAAAGUAGAUUGUUCUAAAUAAAUAGAAGACGAGCGAUGGGUGCGUGCAACUUGAGCAUCAUAACUUGAACCCAUACCGGUCCGGCCCGGCCCAACUCUCUCGGUUGAUGCACACACAAACCCAAACCCUAAACCAGAACGGUCGAUGAGAAACCCUCAUUCCUGGACUCCAUAGCCGCUCUCUCCUCCUCCUCCCCCAGACCCUUCGUUGCUCGCUCACCCGCCCAUGUUCCUCCCCGUCUUUCCACGUUGCUGGGUACGCACUGCGCGCGUCCUCUCUUGCUCCAACAUGAAGCGAGGGAGCUAUUUCGUCUCGGUCACCACUGAAGCACUCGAGUGGGUGCUUAGGUAAGUGUAGCCAAGUCGCGGCAAGUGGAGGUGCUCCCUUGGCAACAUCAAGCUUUUGCUCGAGCGAUCACCCGGUGAUGGAGCUCUUGGGCUUGGAUAAGCAUAGAGGGAAGGAAGAAAAGCCCUCCAUGACACUGGGUGGAAGAGGAAGAGUGAAGGGAGGAAGCACGUUCUUUGGGCUGUCCACAACCUCGUUGCCAGAAGCAAACGAUUUUGCCAAUGCGGUCUGUUGCUUGUUUAGUCCUUCCAUGAUGAAUGAGAAGGCUCCAAAGGUGAGGCAGCUCUGAAGCAAAGCAUGGGGUGCCCCUGGAAGACAAUAAAAAGUGUCAGAAACAAAGAAAAUGUAGUGAACCGAAGCAAAUUUAUUUGCAAGCUUCAUUCAUGUAAGAUCUAUGGCUGUAACCCUCUUCAGUUCAGAGAUUACACAGACCAAAAUUUGGUCUUUAUUUUUCA